GCUGCGAGCAGAUAAACAGAAAUAAUGAACAACUGUCAAUGGAAGCUUUGGGAAAGAAGAGAGGUGACAAAGAAAACAAAGAGCAAGAAUGAAGCAGAUGCAUCAACUGUGUCUAUAGAAGUUCAGAAUAUUUACAUAUGAUUCCCCAGAAACAAUAGUUCUCAUUUUGAUCUAUUAUAACUGUGAUAAUGUGUCUAAGGUAAUGGGGACCUAAAGAAGAGGAGAAGGAAGAGGAGAACAAGAAGGGGAGGAGGAGAAAAAAGAAGAGCUGGAGGAGAAGAGGAGGAG
rnacentral:lncRNA from 1 species